rnacentral:rRNA from 1 species
UAGCGGAGGAAAAGAAACUAACAAGGAUUCCCCUAGUAACGGCGAGUGAACCGGGAAGAGCUCAAAUUUGAAAUCUGGCGUGCUCAGUGCGUCCGAGUUGUAAUCUAUAGAGUCGUUUUCCGUGCCGGACUGUGUCCAAGUCCCUUGGAACAGGGUAUCAAAGAGGGUGAUAAUCCCGUACUUGACACAAUGACCGGUGCUCUGUGAUACGUCUUCUACGAGUCGAGUUGUUUGGGAAUGCAGCUCAAAAUGGGUGGUGAGUUCCAUCUAAAGCUAAAUAUUGGCGAGAGACCGAUAGCGAACAAGUACCGUGAGGGAAAGAUGAAAAGCACUUUGGAAAGAGAGUUAAACAGUACGUGAAAUUGUUAAAAGGGAAACGAUUGAAGUCAGUCGUGACUGAGAGGCUCAGCCGGUUCUGCCGGUGUAUUCCCCUCAGUCGGGUCAACAUCAGUUUUGUUCGGUGGAUAAGGGCGGUUGGAAGGUGGCACCCUCGGGUGUGUUAUAGCCAACUGUCGCAUACAUCGGAUGAGACUGAGGAAUGCAGCUCGCCUUUAUGGCCGGGGUUCGCCCACGUUCGAGCUUAGGAUGUUGACAUAAUGGCUUUAAACGACCCGUCUU